rnacentral:rRNA from 1 species
GAUGAACGCUGGCGGCGUGCCUAAUACAUGCAAGUCGAGCGAACAGACGAGGAGCUUGCUCCUCUUACGUUAGCGGCGGACGGGUGAGUAACACGUGGAUAACCUACCUAUAAGACUGGGAUAACUUCGGGAAACCGGAGCUAAUACCGGAUAACAUGUUGAACCGCAUGGUUCAACAGUGAAAGACGGUCUUGCUGUCACUUAUAGAUGGAUCCGCGCCGCAUUAGCUAGUUGGUAAGGUAACGGCUUACCAAGGCAACGAUGCGUAGCCGACCUGAGAGGGUGAUCGGCCACACUGGAACUGAGACACGGUCCAGACUCCUACGGGAGGCAGCAGUAGGGAAUCUUCCGCAAUGGGCGAAAGCCUGACGGAGCAACGCCGCGUGAGUGAAGAAGGUCUUCGGAUCGUAAAACUCUGUUAUUAGGGAAGAACAAAUGUGUAAGUAACUAUGCACGUCUUGACGGUACCUAAUCAGAAAGCCACGGCUAACUACGUG